GAUUGAACGCUGGCGGCAGGCCUAACACAUGCAAGUCGAACGGUAACAGGAAGCAGCUUGCUGCUUYGCUGACGAGUGGCGGACGGGUGAGUAAUGUCUGGGAAACUGCCUGAUGGAGGGGGAUAACUACUGGAAACGGUGGCUAAUACCGCAUAAYGUCGCAAGACCAAAGAGGGGGACCUUCGGGCCUCUUGCCAUCAGAUGUGCCCAGAUGGGAUUAGCUUGUUGGUGAGGUAACGGCUCACCAAGGCGACGAUCCCUAGCUGGUCUGAGAGGAUGACCAGCCACACUGGAACUGAGACACGGUCCAGACUCCUACGGGAGGCAGCAGUGGGGAAUAUUGCACAAUGGGCGCAAGCCUGAUGCAGCCAUGCCGCGUGUAUGAAGAAGGCCUUCGGGUUGUAAAGUACUUUCAGCGGGGAGGAAGGUGUUGUGGUUAAUAACCRCAGCAAUUGACGUUACCCGCAGAAGAAGCACC
rnacentral:rRNA from 1 species